rnacentral:rRNA from 1 species
UACUCUCUUUUGGGGGGACAGCAGUAGGGAAUCUUCCACAAUGGGCGCAAGCCUGAUGGAGCAACGCCGCGUGAGUGAGGAAGGCUUUCGGGUCGUAAAGCUCUGUUGCCAGGGAAGAAUAAGGGCCAGUUAACUGCUGGUCCGAUGACGGUACCUGAGAAGAAAGCCCCGGCUAACUACGUGCCAGCAGCCGCGGUAAUACGUAGGGGGCAAGCGUUGUCCGGAAUUAUUGGGCGUAAAGCGCGCGCAGGCGGUCUUUUAAGUCUGGUGUCUAAGUGCGGGGCUCAACCCCGUGAUGCACUGGAAACUGGGAGACUUGAGUGCAGAAGAGGAGAGCGGAAUUCCACGUGUAGCGGUGAAAUGCGUAGAGAUGUGGAGGAACACCAGUGGCGAAGGCGGCUCUCUGGACUGUAACUGACGCUGAGCGCGUAGCUAGCUC